rnacentral:rRNA from 1 species
GUAGGGAGCAAACGUUGUCCGGAUUUAUUGGGCGUAAAGGGCUCGUAGGCGGUUCAACAAGUCGGUCGUGAAAACCCGGGGCUCAACCCCGGGACGCCGGUCGAAACUGUUGUGACUAGAGUUCGGUAGAGGUGAGUGGAAUUCUCGGUGUAGCGGUGGAAUGCGCAGAUAUCGAGAGGAACACCAUUAGCGAAGGCGGCUCACUGGGCCGAUACUGACGCUGAGGAGCGAAAGCGUGGGGAGCAAACAGGAUUAGAUACCCUGGUAGUCCACGCCGUAAACGAUGAACACUAGGUGUGGCGGACUGAUUCAUGUCGGCUGCGCCGUAGCUAACGCAUUAAGUGUUCCGCCUGGGGAUACGGCCGCAAGGCUA